ACGGCGGCAGCGCAGCGAGGCGGCGGCCAGGCAGGGCUGCGGGACGGAGCGGGCCGAGAAAAAAAAAAAACGCCCGAACCGCUUCCGCCGAAUUCCGAAACCACCCCGAGGAGGUGGAGGAGGGAGAACGGAGAGAGCCGAAAGGAGAUGAUGUUAAAGCCACACAAAUGAGAUUAUUCCUGGGACUUCCAGGAUCAGAGUCGUUUUGUACCGACGUGCAGCACCCUGCCUGCCCUGACAGAAGGCUGUUUUCCUGCUCCAAUCUCUGCAGCCAAGGUACAGCUUAUCCUGGAAGAUGGUAUUCUGCUGCAGGGAUGGGGCCAGGCUUUGGCAGAGCAAGGAGAACACACACAUAGGCUGCUGGAGCACUGAAUCGUUGGCUAUUACCCAACUGCAGCAUGUGCCAGCCAAGACCCCUGUUCUCACUCCUGCUGCCUGCAGCUGAGAGCACGAUUCAGAGCUUUGGGAGAAACACUGUGCUUUUGGCCUGAGGCUUGUCCAGCCCCCAAGUAGGUGGAAUUGAUGCUACCGUGUCCCAGAUACCCAGCACAGACCUGGGUGGCAGAGAACUGACCAAGCUGCCCUGAGCCUCCUCCUGGCCUUGCAGGCUUAUGGUACUAAAGCACACCCCAGUAUGAGAGAUGCCUGGGUGCCCUUGCUGCUGACGUGGUGCUUGCCAACCACUUGCAGUAAGCACAUUUCCCAUGUGGGACACCCUGUGCACCGUGGUGUGAUGCUGCUGGAGCUGACCCCAGGGGUCUUUGCCACUGCUGGCGCCUUUUGCUGCUUUAACCUGCUCCCCCAUCAGAACUGUGAUGGCUGCUAAGAUGAUUAAGAGAUUGGAGCAUCUGCCAUAUAAAAAAGAGCCUGGAAGAAUGAAGGCUUGGAGCGGUUCUUAUCCAUGUCUCUCAACACUUGUGGUGGGUAAAGAAGACAGGCAGAUUCUCCUCAGUGUUUCCCAGUGACAGAACGAGAGCCAUGCUGAUAACAGAAUACAGGAAUUCCAUUGAAACUAAAGAAAUGCUUUUUGUGCAGGGGUGGCUGAACACUGGAACACGUAGCACAGAAGCGUUCUGCCAUCUCCAUCCUCAGAAACAGUCAAAACCUGACACGACGUGGUCCUGAGCAGCCUGCUCGAGCAUGUUGAGUGGGGAGGAAUGGAAGGCCGUGUGAAGGCCAUGUUCAGAGCUCCUUUCCCAACUCUACUCCGUAAUUCCUUGAGCUGUUGUGGCUUGUUAUCAUUGUAAUGAGACGUACGUGGUGCUACCAUUCUCACUUGCAGCCCUUGCCUCCCUUCUCUGGGGCAGGUCAGGGCUUCCCUGUUCUGAGCACAGCUCAGCUGUGACCCUGCUCUGCCCACUGCGGUGUGGCACCUUGGUGAGGCUUCCCAUGCUCUGCAGCAUCUUGCUAACUCUCACAUAGCUCAGAGAAAGUGAAAACUCCUUGCUUUGCUGAAAGAGACACCUGCUAUACUGCUGGUAAAACCAGAAGGUUGAUCCUCACCUGAGAAACACUCAGCUUUGUCCAGAGAGCCACACACAGGCCAUAGCUCCCUGCCCCUUGGCACGGGGGCCAAACACCCACACAGCAACACCACGGCUCAGUAAAGGUUUGCUUUUAUUUCUGGUUGAAAAUCAAAAUUAGUCAUUCUCUGUAAUUACAUUAUAUAUAGAUUUAUAGAGACAUUAUAGAAAAGAAUUUGUUGCUUUUUUUUUUCUGAAAAAAAAAAUCGUAAAUAAAAAAUAAAACAAACAGGAACGAAAGGAAAAGGUGGCAGCGUCCA